rnacentral:rRNA from 1 species
AUUGAACGCUAGCGGGAUGCUUUACACAUGCAAGUCGAACGGCAGCGCGGACUUCGGUCUGGCGGCGAGUGGCGAACGGGUGAGUAAUGUAUCGGAACGUGCCCAGUAGCGGGGGAUAACUACGCGAAAGCGUAGCUAAUACUGCAUACGCCCUACGGGGGAAAGCAGGGGAUCGUAAGACCUUGCACUAUUGGAGCGGCCGAUAUCGGAUUAGCUAGUUGGUGAGGUAACGGCUCACCAAGGCGACGAUCCGUAGCUGGUUUGAGAGGACGACCAGCCACACUGGGACUGAGACACGGCCCAGACUCCUACGGGAGGCAGCAGUGGGGAAUUUUGGACAAUGGGGGCAACCCUGAUCCAGCCAUCCCGCGUGUGCGAUGAAGGCCUUCGGGUUGUAAAGCACUUUUGGCAGGAAAGAAACGUCGCGGGCUAAUACCCCGUGGAACUGACGGUACCUGCAGAAUAAGCACCGGCUAACUACGUG